rnacentral:misc_RNA from 1 species
CCGAGUGAGGGCUCCGGCCCGACCUCCAACCCUUUGUUAUUCUUCUCUGUUGCCUCGGGGGCGACCCGGUUCCUCUGGGAUGCCGGGGCCCCCGGUGGUCCCAAUCUAAACUCUUGCAUCUCUGCGUCUGAGUCAAUUUUAAAUCAAUUA